rnacentral:rRNA from 1 species
AGGCUUAAUACAUGCAAGUCGUGGGGCAGCAUGAGUAGCAAUACUUGAUGGCGACCGGCAAACGGGUGAGGAACACGUACACAACCUUCCUUCAAGCGGGGAAUAGCCCAGAGAAAUUUGGAUUAAUACCCCAUAUAUAUUUGAUAAGGCAUCUUAUUAAUAUUAAAGCUUCGGCACUUGAUGAUGGGUGUGCGGCUGAUUAGAUAGUUGGCGGGGUAACGGCCCACCAAGUCUACGAUCAGUAGCUGAUGUGAGAGCAUGAUCAGCCACACGGGCACUGAGACACGGGCCCGACUCCUACGGGAGGCAGCAGUAAGGAAUAUUGGACAAUGGACGAAAGUCUGAUCCAGCCAUGCCGCGUGAAGGAUUAAGGUCCUCGGGAUUGUAAACUUCUUUUAUAUGGGACGAAAAAAGGGCAUUCUUGUUCACUUGACGGUACCAUAUGAAUAAGCACCGGCUAACUCCGUG